UUGGCAACUCCUUUGUUGACAAGAAAUGUUUGACGAAAGAGUUCCCAAGUUGACAACAUACCGGACGGGAGCCAGAAAUAUCAACGUAACAUUAAUACGCACAUACGAGCGGCAACCAUUUUGAAAUAUAAAUCCAACUGCAUUGAUUCGUGUGUCAAAUAAUAACAAAUUUAUAACGUUGAAAUUUUCUUUUCCUUUAUAUUAUUGUGCGUGUCCGGACUGUUUUAAUAUAGUAAAAAUGGUUGGCAAAAGCCGAUAUUGUGAGAUAUGCGGCGUGAGAGAAAUUUUCAGAGAAGGCUUCUUUGCCAAAUUUCCCAAGGAUAAACUGCGGUAAGUCAACCAGUUCCUAAUUACAACUAGGGAAUAAAUCAAAUUACUUUAUUAAACAUUUUGAUUUGUUAGUCGCGUAAGCUGAAGGCGGUUCGAAUCCGCCACUCCGUAAUGCCGUAAGGGAUUCAUAUACUUAGGAGCAGCAAGCACGGACUGCUCGCCCUUAGAGUUGGUUAAAGACUUUUCAGUCGUAACUAAUUGUUUUUUGCUAUGUUUGCUACCAGUAAAUCUCUUCCAGUUGUUAUAAUGGAUAUAUAUAGUUUUAGGAAAUAAUAGGUUCCAAUAUCAUUAUCUCUUUAAACUCUAUUUUUGUUAGUACACUAUCUUUUAUUACUUACCUACUACAAAAGCUUUGAUGUAAUUCACUGUAAUUUUUGGUGGCUAUAUCUGAAGUACUUAUUGAACCCAUUUGGGUUCUAAUCAAUUUAAAAUACUAUCUUCGUCUUAUGUUUGUAAUAAUUGUACUACAUAUUAACUUCUUAUGCAUCUUUGUACCUCUCAAUAGUGUGUCAGUAUAUUAUUUGCUCACAGGUGUAAAACUUGGCUUAGACAAGUUGGAAAAGAAGAUCUCAUUCACGUACCCAUUGAAAAAUUGCAUGAGCUUCGUCAUGUUUGUGGUGACCACUUUGACCGGAGAGACUUUGGGAAGACAGGAAAUAAGCUUAAAAAAAGAGCCUAUCCAAAGUUAAAUCUUUCUGCACCUCCACUGUCAGAACAUCAAUUAACAGGAUUUCCUCAACAUGUUGCAAGUAGACAAGGUGCACACCAGAGCCAUGCACUUUUACAUGCCAGGAUACCUCUCUCGACAUCUAGCACUGAAAAUGGUGCACACCAGAGCCAUGCACCUUUACAUGCCAGGAUACCUCUCUCGACAUCGAGCACUGAAAAUGUUUUGGUACCAGCGAGACGCGGAUCUAGUGAUACUCUAGUUCUUACUCUAGCACCACCUAUAUUCUGUCAACUCCAUCUUGUGAGAGGGACGAGAUCGCGGCGACGACGUCGCGGAGCUCGUGCCCCUCAGUGUCCUGCAGGAGGACACUGGCUUCUAUGAGUACAUGUUUAAAAGUAAUUGCCUCAUUGGUGAAAAGCAAAUUAAAAACUUGCUAAAAAUAGCAAAGUUUAGUAAGAACAAAGACCUGAAGGAAACUUCGCAAGCUGAGAUUAGAGAGAAGUGUUUAAGAUUAUAUGGAAAGUAACUUUGGUACCAGCGAAACGCUCCCCGUCUUGCUGACAACCUGGAUCUAGUGAUACUCUAGUUCUUACUUCUGAUAAUCGAAAAACGAAGCAAGCAAAUCACAAGACUGAUGAUUACAAUACAACGAAGAAAGCAUUGCUGAAGAAGCUCAAGAAAGUGAAAACGAGUUUACUUUAUAAGUUUUUGCCUAAUAAGUAGGACUUUAACUAGACAAAUUGAUUUUUAUAAAUCCAUCUUUACAACAUGGUAUCUAUGCUUACCAUAGGGUGUACAGAUGAAGUAGGAUGAGUGAUUUAGUAAGCCUAAUAAAAAAGUAACCCAGAACUGCCAUAACUAAUUAAUUACUAAUUACUUAGAAGUUAGAAUACAGAUUCAGGAUCAUUUAUAUCUUGUUGAAAAUUAAUAUAUUUUAUAUCUGGGAGACCGAGUUUUGAUCGGAACAGUGUUGGCCGAAAGUUAAUUGCAAUUAACCAUUGUUGGCUCGGAAAACAUAAAAACAAAAAAAUAUGCACGUUUUCCCAGAGAUAAGACCUUGCUAGAACAAUUUUUCCCCUUGUUCCUCGUACAUAACCCAGUUACA